rnacentral:sRNA from 1 species
GGGUGUUGAUAGUGUUGCAGAUGUUUGGCAGUGUAAGCAGACAUUUGCUAGUGUGGGCAGAUGUUGGUAGAGUGUGAGCUGAUUUUGGCACAAGAUGGGUUAUUUUGGCAUAGUGUAUUAAGUUAUUCAAAGGGUGGGCAGAUGUUGUCAAGGUGAGGAAAGAUAUUGAUAGUGUUGGCAGAUAUUGGCGUAGUGUGAGCUGACAAUCCACACUCUAUGUAGGCAAAGCCAUUAGUGGGUGGACAUUUGCAAAACGUGGAAAGGCGAUGGCAAGAAGUGGGCAUUGUGUUUUGUUCAGUGAGUUUUGGUGUACUUCGCUGUCCACUCUUUUUGCAGUUUAUGUAAAAUAGCUGUAGUCCUGACUAUGGACUCUAUAGUCACCCUGAAAAAUGUGAAAGACGUUUUUUAAUGACAUUUUCUGUUUUGCAUUCCUCAAUAGAAAUGCAUUUGUUGCAGUUUUAUUUGGAUUUUUUAUACCGGUUUUAAUGGCAGUAACUAUAUUGAUCAGUGAGAACAAUUCAUUUUCAUGCAGGUCGUUCUUUCCCACCGUCAUGAACUUGUUAACAGAACUUUCGUUGUAUAUUGUCCUCCAUGUUAGAUUCGUGAUUUGUAUAAAUUGUUACUAUUAUUAUUAUUCAUUGACAGUGUUAUCGUUAAUGAUUCAAAGAUGUAUGUAAUAAAUACUGGAAAUUUC